rnacentral:rRNA from 1 species
AGAAUGAACGCUGGCGGCGUGCCUUACACAUGCAAGUCGAGCGAGGCGCGGUAGCAAUACCGCAGUCGAGCGGCGAACGGGUGAGUAACACGUGGGUGACCUGCCUCUAGGUGGGGGAUAACCCGGGGAAACUCGGGCUAAUACCGCAUAACAUCGUGAGAUCAAAGAGGGGCGCAAGCCUCUCGCCGAGAGAGGGCCCGCGUCUGAUUAGCUAGUUGGUGAGGUAACGGCUCACCAAGGCGACGAUCAGUAGCCGGCCUGAGAGGGCGAGUCGGACCGACGACGUAGGAACUGAGACACGGUCCAGACUCCUACGGGACGGCAGCAGUGGGAAUUUGACGCAAGUGGGGAACCUGACG